UUUUUUUUUUUUCAAAUUUUAUAUGCAGAAUUCCAGUGUUAAGUAAUCAAAGUGUUUGAAAUCAAAAUAAGUCGACUCAAAUAUACUUUAUUAAUAUCACAUUGUUUAAUCUUGGACUCAACUGUUAAACAGUAGAAGAUUUGAACGAGUUUACACUAAGAAUGGAUAAUAAAACUUUUGCACAACAGUUUGCCAACUCUAAUGUGUUGGCGGAAAGUUACAAAAAUAUAUUAAAGACUUAAUUCAAAGAUAAUGUUGCUAAUCGAUUUACAGUGAAUAUUCUUUCAAAAGCAGAAAAACUCAGGUGAGCACCAAUUAGAAAGUUAGCACAAUUUCUGAUUUUUCUAUUUGUUCAUUUCGAAUGUUUUUUAUUUAUUUCUUAAAAAUGCUUUUAACUGGAUUUGUUUGUAACUUUAUGUUUCUUCAUAUAUUUUUGUCAUUUAGUGUCAAACAAAGCAUACACAAAUUAUUCGAGAUAUGGUCGAAAUUUGCAAAGAAAGUAAAACUCAAUCUAGUUUUAUUCUAAGUUAUUGUAUAUAAUUUUCAAAUUUGGAAUAGAAGUAUUGCAAUAUUUAUUUA